UUACUUAUUUUGGACACCCAGUAUCUUGCAUCGUUGCAAUUGAAGCAAUUAAGAUCUACAAAGUUUUACUUCAUAUUUCAUUGGAAGUAGUAUCGUCAAACAUGGACUAAAUAGGACCUGAUGGAGUUGCAUCUUGUACAUGCUGAAAUGCAACGACAUAUACCUAAAUAUAUAUAUCUGUAUAUUCCGCAUGAUCAACACAAAGAUUAUAUAUUAUGACUAUUUGUUAGGAACCUGAUGCAGCACAUCGUUUGGAGAAAUGAGAUUAAACGCACAACUUCAAUAAUCGGUGCUAUAUACACCGUUUGGCAUCCUGAGAGAAUUUCAGCUUAUUAUUGUAUUUUAUCCCUUGUAAUAGUUAGUUACUAGAUGUAUACGUGUCAGCCUUUCAUUUGUAUGGUUUGUUAUUCUGCAUGAGUAUAUGAGAAGGGACUGUGGGGAGGGAGAUCCAUUCGGGAAUUUUUGGUUAUUGCUCUUUUUUGUAAUGGAGGUUGGGUCCCUCGAAGAACCCGUAGCUCUAAAUCAGUGGCUCUUUUGAGCUUUCUAUCAAACACUUCCCGUGCAUUCCCGUUCCUUCUUCAUACAAUAUUCAUUUGUAAUCCAUUUCACUUCCUGUUUACAUUCCAUUGUCACAACAACAUCAUUCCAAUUCACAGUAGCAUUUACAAUGGUCAUUUACAACAGGGUCCUAACAAUUGGUAUCUAGAGCCACCAAUUCUUCAUGGCCAUGAUAUGAUUGAAUAAACAACAAUUAUUAUUGCUAGAAAAAAUUCUGGACAAAUUGGAGCAUAUGAGCAAAAUACUUGAUGGAAUGCAUCAUAAUUGCAAGAAAAUGCAGAAAUCUCUCGCGGACAAAGAAAAUGCAACAAAGGUGGAAGAAAAUCGUAACGUUUUCAAGCAUCAAAUGAGGGAAUCUCUCAUGGAAUGGCGAGACAAGGAAGACACCGAAGAGAACUUGGGAGAUACGGAUUCAACUGAAGAAACACAACAAUCAAUAGUGCCUGAAGAAGAUAAAACAAUGGAUGAUGACCAAACUGCGCAGGAAGAAAUAGAAAGUGCAGUAGACGUGAACGAGCCUGUGGCGGUGUCCACAUAAGAGUGCUUGGUUUGGGAAGACCAAGCUGCGGAGGAGGGCAUGAAAAGGGAAGCAGAGCUGGAGGAGCUUGUUGCGAUGCCCACGGAAGCUGUUUCAAAAGAAAUAUCUCUUCCAUCUAUUCUUAGAAGUCCAGAACCGAAAUCAAAUUCUCAAACUUUAGAAGAUCGAACAUCGCGGCCUCUUCCUAGUAGGGAAAUUAUUUUGUGUGAAACCAAGGGUGAUGCUCAUCGAGAUGGAGAUUACCAUCGAGAUCUUCCUGUAGGGAGUGUUGCUGGAAGUACUCAUGUUGCUCGUGCUCGAUUGUGGAUUUUCAAUCUAGGGAUUUGCACCUGCUAUUUUUCCAAAAGUGAGGUUCAUCCACUGUUUCAAGUGGGAGCCCUUAACCGAACCAUAGUACUCUCCCUCAAAACCAAAGAAGAAGUGAACAACAGAAGCGGCCAGGUCUCCACCAGGAACUCUACCCACCGCCUUGUGCCUCCAAGGAUCUUGUUUGGCGAUUUGAUAUCUAUAGAAAGCUGGAAAAGCACAGAGGCUAUGUGAACACUGUAAGUUUCAAUGCAGAUGGUGACAUUAUGGUUUCAGGAUCUGAUGAUAGGCUGAUAUACUCUGGGAUUGGAAGAUUGGGCGUGUCAAGCUUUUGUUUCAUUUAGACAGGCAGGUGCGACUUGUUGAGAUUUCGCAUAUAUAUGGGGGUUCUUGGAAUGCUAUUCAUGGUCUGAAACUUUUUACCAAAAUUAUUGCUUGGAAUUGUAGGGUUAAGAAAUUUUUUGCACCUUAUGCUUGAUUAUUUGCCACUUAAAGUGGUUUGUGAGCCUUUUGAUAGAGGAAGGGAAAGAACACUUGUGGAAAUAAAUUGUGAUGACCAGGAUACUGUGGAUGAACUUGGAAUGGGUUCUAAUUUUGGGGGGGGGGGAAGGUUAGGGUUCUUAAUUGGGGGAGAAUUUUUAGUUGAAGACCUUUUGAUAAUCUUGGAUAAGAUAUUUUCAUCAGUUAAUGGUAAAUUAGACAAAGGUUCUGAAGAGGACAUUGAAUCAAGUCUAAGUUCACCUCGGGGAGCCUUUAUUUCAGCUACGGUAGUUUCAAUGUUCCUUUAUUUGAGAUCUUACUUGCCUACCAUUGAUUUGAGUCUAAGAGGUUGUCUUGCUGAACAUUGUAGUCCAGAUGAUGUUGAUUCCUGCAAUGGUAAUCAAAACCUAAGAGGUCUUGCUAUAGUAACGUGUUGCCAUCAUCUUGUGCGUGAUAAAGUAACCUUGAAGAUUCUGAUUGAUAGUGAAAAUAUGGUGGAGAUACUGACAAUACUCUGGUUCACAGCAAGCAUGGUGGAAGUGCAGGCUUGUAGAAUUAGUGGGUUGGGGGUGCAAAUAAUUUUUCUGAAAAGUACAUGGACCAUUAAUAAAAGGCAACUUCCUCAAAGACUAUCAUUUGCUCAUUCAAUGAUUUUCCGCUUUGAUUCUUCUUGUUUGAUGUUAGCAAAUGCGCAAGUGGUUAAAAGUGUCAGUAAUGGUCAUCUGUUGCAGCUCAUAUAUUUGGCACUGAGGAACCUUGCCACUGUUUUUCUUCAACAAGGUUCUGCACAUUAUGAGGAUGCCUUACGUUGUUACCUUCAAGUUGUAGAGAUUAAUACCAUAGAUUCUAUUGUCUGGAACUAGCUAGGAACAAUAUCACGCUCAAUGGAAUUGUUUAGUAUAUCGCGAUGGGCUUUUGAGCAAGGGCCUUCCUGUAGGCCUUAUAAUUGGAACGACAUGGAGAAACUAUUGGAAGUUAAUGAUUUCUCUGUAUUUUAUUGUUCAAGUUUGAGACCAAAUGGAAAAGCUAUGAUUGAGUCGAGAUUCAGGGGGCUUCUCAACCACUCCAUGUCACUUUUGAAAAAGAAAUGGCUAUUGUGUAUACUUGAUGAUUUUACCCCAAAGCAACUUUCACAUAAUGUGACUUGGGGGUUGAGCUUGUUAUAUGCUAUGGAACACAAGGCUGACCAAGCGUUGGUUGCUACUUAGGGUGAGCUAGCACAUGCAUUGCGGUUCUUAGCUUCUGUUGUAUCUCAAGGUUUUUUAGCUUUUGAUGACAUUCUAGAACUGCAUAAAAAAUUCUGUGAAGGCACUCCUUGAUGAGCUGAAACUUGUGGGAGCACCUUGCCAUCUUGGGUCCACCAUCACUGAGGUGGACAUUUUCAGAGAUGCAGGCGUUAUUAUGGUAAACUACAUUGAUGGAAUGGUUGGUCUUUCGGUAGAAGAAAGUAGUUGGGAAGCUUCUAUCCCUUUACACACAUCUUGAGGACAAGGUUCUUUCAAGGGAGCAGAUUGUUAGGAACCUGAUGCAGUGCACCGUUUAGAGAAAUGAGAUUAAGUGCACAGCUUCAAUAAUCGGUGCUAUACGCACCGUUUGGCAUCCUGAGAGAAUUUCAGCUUAUUAUUGUAUUUUGUCUCCUUGCAAUAGUUAGUUACUAGAUGUAUACGUGUCAGCCUUUUAUUUGUAUAGUUUGUUAUUUUGCAUGAGCAUAUGAGAAGGGAUUGUGGGGAGGGAGAUUCAUUCGAGAAUAUUUGGUUAUUGCCCUUUUCUGUAAUGGAGGUUGGGUCCCUCGAAGAACCCGUAGCUCUGAAUCAGUGGCUUUUUGGAGCUUUCUAUCAAACACUUCCCAAGCAUUCCCAUUCCUUCUUCAUACAACAUUCAUUUGUAAUCCAUUUCACUUCUUGUUUACAUUCCAUUGUCACAACAACAUCAUUCCAAUUCACAGUAGCAUUUACAACAGGGUCCUAACACUAUCAUUGAGUGAAAGCUGUCUAACUUCUUUGUAGAGAAGGAAAUACCGCAGAUCAAGAAAAGAGCAUUUCCCUGAAAUUUCAAGAUGAUUUAAAAGCAUUCGAAGACAACGCACUGGCCGGCCGACCCCAUAAUUGGGGAGAUUCGGGAAACUGGAUUGAUUUUUGGAAAGAAGUUUGCAGACAACAAGACGCCUAAUGAUCCAUUCCCUCCUGAAUGGGGCAAGUUCAAUCUUAAUUUUGUUUCUUCAAGGUUACUGUAUGAAUAUAUUUAUUUACUGAGGGGAAAAAUUUGUUGUUAGAUUACCUAUAAUUUCUUUCUUAAACUAGAUCAAAACAUCUUGUAGACCUAGGUUUUUUCUUCUGAAUCUUUUCUAUAUCUGAAUCUUA